GGUCACGAAGAAUUGAAAGCUAUUGAAUGUACACGGUACACCUAUGUGACAAUAUAGAAAAUGAUACGUCAAUAAUGUCCAAGAAACAAAACAUAUCGAGUACAAUUAAAAAUGGUGUUUGACAACAGCAAAGAUAGAGGCCUACAGAAUUGACACAGAUAUUAAAAGAAAGGAUAUGAAACCCAUAUUGCAUCCAGAAAUACAGUUUGAGACUUUUGAGUUAUUUUUUACGUAGACGGAAAUGGAAUCAUUACUGGUACAGUACUUGCUUGGAAUCUUGGUUGAACUCAAAUAGUUUGGUUUAGAAACCUUCAAUAAUAAUAUCCACAACUUAGUAAACAUUUUACAAGUGAUGAUUUGAAGGAACUUCUUUUUUCCUUUUUUCCCUUGGAGUUAUUAAAGACGCUUUGUUAUUCCUCAAUCAAAGUGGAUGAGAUUUCUACUGUCCAACAUUCUACUCAAAGUUAAACAGCUCUCUAUCAAAGGGAACCAAGUAAGAUUAAAAUAGAAUUGAAAAUACAGCUUUAUGUAUUUUGAAAACCACAAAGGACCCCAAAUGAUUGUCGAGCUCAUGCAAAAAAAGAAAAAACACUAUGUUGCUGAGGAAGAAUACCUUAGACCGUUGUUAAUUCUUGUAGGUAUCAAGGAUUUCCUGACAGUUUCGCUGACUCGAAGAUUUAGAGCAACUCC